CCCGCCCGCUGGCGGCAUGCCUAACACAUGCAAGUCGAACGAGACCUUCGGGUCUAGUGGCGCACGGGUGCGUAACGCGUGGGAACCUGCCCUUAGGUUCGGAAUAACUCCCCGAAAGGGGUGCUAAUACCGGAUAAUGUCUUCGGACCAAAGAUUUAUCGCCUUUGGAUGGGCCCGCGUUGGAUUAGCUAGUUGGUAGGGUAAAAGCCUACCAAGGCGACGAUCCAUAGCUGGUCUGAGAGGAUGAUCAGCCACACUGGGACUGAGACACGGCCCAGACUCCUACGGGAGGCAGCAGUGGGGAAUAUUGGACAAUGGGCGAAAGCCUGAUCCAGCAAUGCCGCGUGAGUGAUGAAGGCCUUAGGGUUGUAAAGCUCUUUUACCCGGGAUGAUAAUGACAGUACCGGGAGAAGAAGCGCCGGCUAACUCCGU
rnacentral:rRNA from 1 species